rnacentral:rRNA from 1 species
UGGGUAACCUGCCCCUCUCUCUGGGAUAACCCUGGGAAACCGGAGCUAAUACCGGAUACUCCGGCUGGAUCGCAUGGUCCGGCCGGGAAAGGUCCGCCGGAGAGGGAUGGGCCCGCGGCCUAUCAGCUUUGUUGGUGAGGUCACGGCUCACCAAGGCUACGACGGGUANCUGGUCUGAGAGGACGACCAGCCACACUGGAACUGAGAUACGGUCCAGACCUCCGUACGGGAGCA